AACGUAGGACGCAAGCGUUAUCCGGAGUUACUGGGCGUAAAGCGCGGGCAGGCGGCUCGAAACGUCUGAUGUGAAAUCUCCCCGCUCAACGGGGAGAGGCCAUUGGAAACGGUCGGGCUGGAGGGCAGUAGAGGCAGGCGGAAUUCCGGGUGGAGUGGUGAAAUGCGUAGAGAUCCGGAGGAACACCAGAGGCGAAGGCGGCCUGCUGGGCUGCACCUGACGCUGAACCGCGAAAGCGUGGGGAGCAAACAGG
rnacentral:rRNA from 1 species